rnacentral:rRNA from 1 species
CGUAUAUUAACGUUGUUGCAGUUAAAAAGCUCGUAGUUGGAUUUGUGGUUCUUUGCAUGGUCCCAGCAAAUUGUUGGGUGCCGUUGCGAGGACCAUCCUUGGGUGGAAUCUGUGUGGCAUUAGGUUGUCGCGCAGGGGAUGCCCAUCGUUUACUGUGAAAAAAUUAGAGUGUUCAAAGCAGGCUUAUGCCGUUGAAUAUAUUAGCAUGGAAUAAUGAGAUAGGACCUUGGUACUAUUUUGUUGGUUUGCGCACCGAGGUAAUGAUUAAUAGGGACAGUUGGGGG